rnacentral:rRNA from 1 species
UACGUAGGGACCGAGCGUUGUCCGGAUUCAUUGGGCGUAAAGAGCUCGUAGGCGGCCACUCAAGUCGAAUGUGAAAACUCGAGGCUUAACCUCGAGCUGUCGGCGGAAACCAUCUGGCUAGAGUCCGGAAGAGGAGAAUGGAAUUCCCGGUGUAGCGGUGAAAUGCGCAGAUAUCGGGAAGAACACCCGUGGCGAAGGCGGUUCUCUGGGACGGUACUGACGCUGAGACGCGAAAGCGUGGGGAGCGAACAGG